rnacentral:rRNA from 1 species
UACGUAGGGGGCAAGCGUUUGUCCGGAUUUAUUGGGCGUAAAGAGCGUGUAGGCGGCCUGAAAGGUCAGCUGUGAAAACCCGCAGCUCAACUGUGGGCUUGCAGCUGAUACGGGCAGGCUAGAGUUCGGUAGGGGAGAGUCGGAAUUCCUGGUGUAGCGGUGAAAUGACGCAGAUAUCAGGAGGAACACCGGUGGCGAAGGCGGAUCUCUGGGCCGAUACUGACGCUGAGGAGCGAAAGCGUGGGGAGCGAACAGG